GACGGGGGGGCAAGUGUUCUUCGGAAUGACUGGGCGUAAAGGGCACGUAGGCGAUGAAUCGGGUUGAAAGUGAAAGUCGCCAAAAAGUGGCGGAAUGCUCUCGAAACCAAUUCACUUGAGUGAGACAGAGGAGAGUGGAAUUUCGUGUGUAGGGGUGGAAAUCCGUAGAUCUACGAAGGAACGCCAAAAGCGAAGGCAGCUCUCUGG
rnacentral:rRNA from 1 species